rnacentral:rRNA from 2 species
GUGUGUUCCAGGUAAAUCCGGUUCACUUUAACACUGAGGCGUGACGACGAGGCACUACGGUGCUGAAGCAACAAAUGCCCUGCUUCCAGGAAAAGCCUCUAAGCAUCAGGUAACAUCAAAUCGUACCCCAAACCGACACAGGUGGUCAGGUAGAGAAUACCAAGGCGCUUGAGAGAACUCGGGUGAAGGAACUAGGCAAAAUGGUGCCGUAACUUCGGGAGAAGGCACGCUGACACGUAGGUGAAGUGAUUUACUCAUGGAGCUGAAGUCAGUCGAAGAUACCAGCUGGCUGCAACUGUUUAUUAAAAACACAGCACUGUGCAAACACGAAAGUGGACGUAUACGGUGUGACGCCUGCCCGGUGCCGGAAGGUUAAUUGAUGGGGUCAGCGCAAGCGAAGCUCCUGAUCGAAGCCCCGGUAAACGGCGGCCGUAACUAUAACGGUCCUAAGGUAGCGAAAUUCCUUGUCGGGUAAGUUCCGACCUGCACGAAUGGCGUAAUGAUGGCCAGGCUGUCUCCACCCGAGACUCAGUGAAAUUGAACUCGCUGUGAAGAUGCAGUGUACCCGCGGCAAGACGGAAAGACCCCGUGAACCUUUACUAUAGCUUGACACUGAACAUUGAGCCUUGAUGUGUAGGAUAGGUGGGAGGCUUUGAAGCGUGGACGCCAGUCUGCGUGGAGCCGACCUUGAAAUACCACCCUUUAAUGUUUGAUGUUCUAACGUGGACCCGUUACCCGGGUUGCGGACAGUGUCUGGUGGGUAGUUUGACUGGGGCGGUCUCCUCCUAAAGAGUAACGGAGGAGCACGAAGGUUGGCUAAUCCUGGUCGGACAUCAGGAGGUUAGUGCAAUGGCAUAAGCCAGCUUGACUGCGAGCGUGACGGCGCGAGCAGGUGCGAAAGCAGGUCAUAGUGAUCCGGUGGUUCUGAAUGGAAGGGCCAUCGCUCAACGGAUAAAAGGUACUCCGGGGAUAACAGGCUGAUACCGCCCAAGAGUUCAUAUCGACGGCGGUGUUUGGCACCUCGAUGUCGGCUCAUCACAUCCUGGGGCUGAAGUAGGUCCCAAGGGUAUGGCUGUUCGCCAUUUAAAGUGGUACGCGAGCUGGGUUUAGAACGUCGUGAGACAGUUCGGUCCCUAUCUGCCGUGGGCGCUGGAGAACUGAGGGGGGCUGCUCCUAGUACGAGAGGACCGGAGUGGACGCAUCACUGGUGUUCGGGUUGUCAUGCCAAUGGCACUGCCCGGUAGCUAAAUGCGGAAGAGAUAAGUGCUGAAAGCAUCUAAGCACGAAACUUGCCCCGA